AAUCAGUUGAAGCCGGUGUGAGCUUUGGACGUUAAUCCCACCCCCGGGCGGUUGGUUGCAGAGUUUCUGGCUUCUGCCUCACUCCUGUGAAAACUUUCUGGAAUGACCCACCCGAGUUCAGGUCGGAUACCCAUCCACCGACUCAGGCUUCGCUGAACUGUUGAGCAACCAGAGAGGUGCAAACUGCAAUCCAAAGUUAAAAAUUUAACUUCAGAACCACUUUCAGACCUGUGCCUGAGAAAUGAAAGGGUGGCAACAAAGAAAUUAGAUGCUGGAGUUCUGGUUCCACUGCUUCUCUGUCCUGGAGACACAAUGUGUGCAUGUGUCAUAAUCCAGGAGUUUGCUCCUGCCUUGUCACUGACAGCGUGAAAGGAAAAUUUCAGAAGAGAGAAAUACAAGUAUAAGAUGGAAUUCCUCCCAGGACUGGGGUUGACAGAUGUCUGCAGCUAAUAAAGAUUGAAAACUACUACUGUGCUAUGGGAUAGAUGAUGGGUAUGAUCACCACAACCACCACUUUGGAACAGAAAAAAACUUGGGCUCUCUGUGGCUCUAUAAGGCAUUACCAAAAACCCCACUGAAAAUUCCCUCAAGCUUUUUGGCUACAAGGAAAUCAGCCUCUACCCUAAAACUCCACUCCCCCUGAGUGGGCAAACAAUCAGAAUAUAGCACAUGUGAAUAGACGGCCACCACAAAAAAUGUGGAGCUGCCAGUUGCAAGCAGGUGCCCAGCAUUGCCCUACAAUCUAUGUUAUCUUUUUCUUCAAUUCACUCUUACCUUCUACUAUGGCUUUUUCCACUUUCUCCUCUCUCCUUUAUCUUAUAUCAUCCUUUCUCAAAGCAGAUAAACUUAACUCUUACACCCAAAAGAAGUAAGUUAUCACAAUAGAUUUCCCGCAGUCAAAUGCUGUAUACAAGCUUAUUCACAUUCAUAUCAACGUUUUACUUCUUCCAUUGUGUAAAGGGAGAGAUUUACCUCCUCCCAUACCUUCACUACACAGGUUCAAUCUCCUUCUGUCUUCUCAGUUUCUCAUUUUAAUUAUUCCCUCUCUUUUUUGUUGUUAAUUUAUCUCUCCUCUCCGUCCCCACCCCAGCUCCUUUCCCAUUUUAAAAAUAAGCAAAUGAUCCCCAAAACCACUCUCACCUCCAUAGACAAUGUUAGCUAUAGGCUUUCCUGCCCUUUACAGCAAAGCUUUUGGAAAGAGCUGUCUACAAUCACUGUCUCCAUUUCCUUACCUUCCACUUUCUGCCCAACAUAUUCCAGUCUGUUUUUACGCACUGCUCCACGAUUUUCACCAAAGUCAAUUAUGACAUCUUUGCCAUUUUUUCUGUCCUCAUACUGCUUGACAUUUAGCAGCAUUUGACCCUGUGACCACUCCCUUCUCUUCGAAAUUCUCUCUCUUAGCUUCUGUCACAUUACUUUGCACUGAGGUUGGUUAGUUGGUUGUUUGGUUGGUUUUCCAUUAGCUGUUUCUUCUCAGUUCUCUUUGCUAGCUCCUUUUCUCCUUACCUAGCUUUUAAAAGUUGGAGAGUCUCAGGGUUCUCUCCUAGACCCUUUGCUGACUCUACACUUUUGUUACUUGGAGCUCUCACCCACACUCAUUGCUUUACUUACUGCCUUACAUGCAUAUGGUUCCUCUAUCUAUAUAAUUAACCAGGUCACUCUUCCAAUUAUAUCUAACUGCCUAGCAGAUGCCAUUUGGAUGUAUAACAUGUAUAAAUGAAAAUUUUUCUCUUUUUGUGCCUCCUAAUCUUGUUCCUCCUCCAGUGUUCCCUCUUUCAACACACGGGUUCCUCUCCUCUCAGUUGUUCAUGUGAGAAACAUGGAAGACAGUCUUGAACCUUACCUCUCCCAUCACCCCUGAAAUGUAAGGCCUGUUAUUUCCGUCUCUCAAGUACGUCUCUUGAAGGCUUAAAUUUCUCUGCAACCUAAUUGACAUUGCUUCCUUGCCUAAGCCAAAGUCUGGCACCUAAACUCCAAGAAUAUAAUCUUUUCUGGUUUCCCUAUACUCUUCUGGCCCCUUUCCAUUCCACUCUUCAAAAUGUAGUUAGUGUUUGUUUAAAAACACGGAUCUCACCAGGCCUCUUUUAAAAACCUUCAUUGGCUCCCCAUUACCCUUAGGAUAAAGUACAAUUUUGUUUUGUCUUUUUGACAUGGCUUACAAGACAUUCCACAUCCUGACCUUCAUCUGAUACCCUCUACUGCACACGUUACAUGUUCCAGCCACACCAGACUUUUUUCAGUUUUGAAAGGAGCCUCUACUUCUUUUGCUGCUGGGUCUCAAACAUGCUGUUCCCUCUGCCUAGGACAUUCUUUCAUAGUACACACUUUUUCCAUUUACCUAUUAGCUCCCUAUUAUAGAUCUCGGUAUAGAGAUCGAGAUAUAGUAGUCUUCUAUGUUCCCAGAGCACUUUCUAAUGCAUUUAUCAUUUGUUGGAAUAUCUUGAUUAUUAUAAAGUAUUUGACAAAUGUCUAUACUGCUUAUUAGAAUCUAUGAACAUAAAGGCAAAGACUAUGUCAACCCUCUUCACCACUGUAUCCUCAGCAUCUAACGUAGUACCUGGAACAUAAUGAUCCCUCAAAAGUAUUUGCUGAAUAAAAUGCUUUUUCUAU